rnacentral:rRNA from 1 species
GGACUACUGGGGUAUCUAAUCCUGUUUGAUCCCCACGCUGUCGCGCAUGAGCGUCAGAAACGGUCCAGUGAGCCGCCUUCGCCACCGGUGUUCUUCCCAAUAUCUACGAAUUUCACCUCUACACUGGGAAUUCCACUCACCUCUACCGUACUCAAGCUCUACAGUUUCAAGGGCAGUUCCAGAGUUGAGCUCUGGGCUUUCACCCCUGACUUGAAGAGCCGCCUGCGCGCGCUUUACGCCCAGUAAUUCCGAACAACGCUAGCCCCCUUCGUAUUACCGCGGCUGCUGGCAC